UAAGGGCUCACCAAGGCGACGAUCCCUAGCUGGUCUGAGAGGAUGAUCAGCCACACUGGAACUGAGACACGGUCCAGACUCCUACGGGAGGCAGCAGUGGGGAAUAUUGCACAAUGGGCGCAAGCCUGAUGCAGCCAUGCCGCGUGUGUGAAGAAGGCCUUCGGGUUGUAAAGCACUUUCAGUCGUGAGGAAGGUAGUGUAGUUAAUAGCUGCAUUAUUUGACGUUAGCGACAGAAGAAGCACCGGCUAACUCCGUGCCAGCAGCCGCGGUAAUACGGAGGGUGCGAGCGUUAAUCGGAAUUACUGGGCGUAAAGCGCAUGCAGGUGGUUUGUUAAGUCAGAUGUGAAAGCCCGGGGCUCAACCUCGGAAUUGCAUUUGAACCUGGCAGACUAGAGUACUGUAGA
rnacentral:rRNA from 1 species